AGAGUUUGAUCCUGGCUCAGAUUGAACGCUGGCGGCAGGCCUAACACAUGCAAGUCGAGCGGAAACGAGAAGUAGCUUGCUACUUCGGCGUCGAGCGGCGGACGGGUGAGUAAUGCAUAGGAAGUUGCCCAGUAGAGGGGGAUAACCAUUGGAAACGAUGGCUAAUACCGCAUAACCUCUUCGGAGCAAAGCGGGGGACCUUCGGGCCUCGCGCUACUGGAUACGCCUAUGUGGGAUUAGUUAGUUGGUGAGGUAAUGGCUCACCAAGGCGACGAUCCCUAGCUGGUCUGAGAGGAUGAUCAGCCACACUGGGACUGAGACACGGCCCAGACUCCUACGGGAGGCAGCAGUGGGGAAUAUUGCACAAUGGGCGAAAGCCUGAUGCAGCCAUGCCGCGUGUAUGAAGAAGGCCUUCGGGUUGUAAAGUACUUUCAGUUGUGAGGAAGGUUUCGUAGUUAAUAGCUGCGUUGCUUGACGUUAGCAACAGAAGAAGCACCGGCUAACUCCGUGCCAGCAGCCGCGGUAAUACGGAGGGUGCGAGCGUUAAUCGGAAUUACUGGGCGUAAAGCGCAUGCAGGUGGUUUGUUAAGUCAGAUGUGAAAGCCCGGGGCUCAACCUCGGAAGGUCAUUUGAAACUGGCAAACUAGAGUACUGUAGAGGGGGGUAGAAUUUCAGGUGUAGCGGUGAAAUGCGUAGAGAUCUGAAGGAAUACCAGUGGCGAAGGCGGCCCCCUGGACAGAUACUGACACUCAGAUGCGAAAGCGUGGGGAGCAAACAGGAUUAGAUACCCUGGUAGUCC
rnacentral:rRNA from 1 species